rnacentral:rRNA from 2 species
CUUGGUCAUUUAGAGGAAGUAAAAGUCGUAACAAGGUCUCCGUUGGUGAACCAGCGGAGGGAUCAUUACCGAGUUUACAACUCCCAAACCCAAUGUGAACCAUACCAAACUGUUGCCUCGGCGGGGUCACGCCCCGGGUGCGUCGCAGCCCCGGAACCAGGCGCCCGCCGGAGGGACCAACCAAACUCUUUCUGUAGUCCCCUCGCGGACGUUAUUUCUUACAGCUCUGAGCAAAAAUUCAAAAUGAAUCAAAACUUUCAACAACGGAUCUCUUGGUUCUGGCAUCGAUGAAGAACGCAGCGAAAUGCGAUAAGUAAUGUGAAUUGCAGAAUUCAGUGAAUCAUCGAAUCUUUGAACGCACAUUGCGCCCGCCAGUAUUCUGGCGGGCAUGCCUGUCCGAGCGUCAUUUCAACCCUCGAACCCCUCCGGGGGGUCGGCGUUGGGGAUCGGGAACCCCUAAGACGGGAUCCCGGCCCCGAAAUACAGUGGCGGUCUCGCCGCAGCCUCUCCUGCGCAGUAGUUUGCACAACUCGCACCGGGAGCGCGGCGCGUCCACGUCCGUAAAACACCCAACUUUCUGAAAUGUUGACCUCGGAUCAGGUAGGAAUACCCGCUGAACUUAAGCAUAUCAAUAAGCGGAGGA